GAUUGAACGCUGGCGGCAGGCCUAACACAUGCAAGUCGAACGGUAACAGGAAGAAGCUUGCUUCUUUGCUGACGAGUGGCGGACGGGUGAGUAAUGUCUGGGAAACUGCCUGAUGGAGGGGGAUAACUACUGGAAACGGUAGCUAAUACCGCAUAACGUCGCAAGACCAAAAAGGGGGACCUUCGGGCCUCUUGCCAUCGGAUGUGCCCAGAUGGGAUUAGCUAGUAGGUGGGGUAACGGCUCACCUAGGCGACGAUCCCUAGCUGGUCUGAGAGGAUGACCAGCCACACUGGAACUGAGACACGGUCCAGACUCCUACGGGAGGCAGCAGUGGGGAAUAUUACACAAUGGGCGCAAGCCUGAUGCAGCCAUGCCGCGUGUAUGAAGAAGGCCUUCGGGUUGUAAAGUACUUUCAGCGGGGAGGAAGGGAGUAAAGUUAAUACCUUUGCUCAUUGACGUUACCCGCAGAAGAAGCACCGGCUAACUCCGUG
rnacentral:rRNA from 1 species